rnacentral:tRNA from 1 species
GGCGAUUAGCUCAGCGGGAGAGCACUGCCUUCACACGGCAGGGGUCACUGGUUCGAUCCCAGUAUCGCC